rnacentral:rRNA from 1 species
UGCGAAGGGGGCUAGCGUUGUUCGGAAUCACUGGGCGUAAAGCGCACGCAGGCGGAUCGAAAAGUCGGGGGUGAAAGCCCGGGGCUCAACCUCGGAAUUGCCUUCGAUACUGUCGGUCUCGAGUCCGGGAGAGGUGAGUGGAAUUCCUAGUGUAGAUGUGAAAUUCGUAUAUAUUAGGAAGAACACUAUUGGCGAAGGAGGAUCAUGGGCUCGGUACUGACGAUCAGGUGCGAAAGCGUGGGGAGCAAACAGG